GAUCCCAGUCCAGCAGUCGACGUUGGGUGGCUGUGUGGGGCGGGACGUCGCUCUCCGUGUCUCCGCGUGGCGUGCCGUGUUCCGUCCUCCUCCGUCACUGUGUUUGCUUGGCCCCGGGACCUGAGAGUGCCGUGGAGUGCCUGUGGUGGUGUAGGAGGUGUCUCAGUGGCUGGUGUGCACGGCGCGUGUGUGUGUGUAUCUUGAAGUUUGUUGGAGGGCGUCGCCUCGCCGCCUGGAUUUAAGUUCCUCCCCCUUCCCCGGAAAGUCCAGUCAUCGGGACGCACCGACUUCAGAUCCCAAUAGUGAUCGGCGAGUUACUGUGUUGUCAGUGUUACUUUGUGUUGCCUUGUGGCGGCACGUGUGUUGCUCCCCGCGUCCCACCUCUGCCAUGAAGGACCUAUGACAAGCACCCCGGGUCACUGUGCCAAGAAACAGGUCACUCUGCACGUCAGGGUGACGAGUGAUGUUGGUUGCCAAUGUUCCUGAACCCGUGGUAUGGCGGCGGGGGGCAGCAGCCGGGUGUGGUGGGCACGAGUGGCCCGGGGGGAGUGGGUGAGCCCCUCCACCUUAUCCACCACCAUUUCCUGGAUCGUCUGCAGGCAAGACUUCGACUCGGCUGGACCGUUCAUUCCACCCGCGAGGGACGGCUCUUCUAUUGCAA